rnacentral:rRNA from 1 species
UACAGAGGUCUCAAGCGUUGUUCGGAUUCACUGGGCGUAAAGGGUGCGUAGGUGGUAGGGUAAGUCGGAUGUGAAAUCUCGGAGCUCAACUCCGAAACUGCAUUGGAAACUACCCAACUUGAGGGUCGGAGGGGGGACUGGAAUUCUCGGUGUAGCAGUGAAAUGCGUAGAUAUCGAGAGGAACACCAGUGGCGAAGGCGAGUCCCUGGACGACUCCCGACACUGAGGCACGAAAGCUAGGGGAGCAAACAGG